rnacentral:rRNA from 1 species
UACGUAGGGGGCAAGCGUUAUCCGGAUUCACUGGGCGUAAAGGGAGCGCAGGCGGCAUGGCAAGUCUGAUGUGAAAACCCGGGGCCCAACCCCGGGAGUGCAUUGGAAACUGCCAGGCUGGAGUGUCGGAGGGGUAAGCGGAACUCCUAGUGUAGCGGUGAAAUGCGUAGAUAUUAGGAGGAACACCAGUGGCGAAGGCGGCUUACUGGACGACUACUGACGCUGAGGCUCGAAAGCGUGGGGAGCAAACAGG